rnacentral:tRNA from 1 species
UUUGAUUUGGCUUUGGAAUCUGCAUUAUUUUUGUGCAGCUUAUGGUAUGUUAUACUUUUGUGGGGGGAA